GACGAACGCUGGCGGCGUGCUUAACACAUGCAAGUCGAACGGAAAGGCCCUGCUUUUGUGGGGUGCUCGAGUGGCGAACGGGUGAGUAACACGUGAGUAACCUGCCCUUGACUUUGGGAUAACUUCAGGAAACUGGGGCUAAUACCGGAUAGGAGCUCCUGCUGCAUGGUGGGGGUUGGAAAGUUUCGGCGGUUGGGGAUGGACUCGCGGCUUAUCAGCUUGUUGGUGGGGUAGUGGCUUACCAAGGCUUUGACGGGUAGCCGGCCUGAGAGGGUGACCGGACACAUUGGGACUGCGAUACGGCCCAGACUCGUACGGGAGGCAGCAGUGGGGAAUAUUGCACAAUGGGCGGAAGCCUGAUGCAGCAACGCCGCGUGCGGGAUGACGGCCUUCGGGUUGUAAACCGAUUUCGCCUGUGACGAAGCGUGAGUGACGGUAAUGGGUAAAGAAGCACCGGCUAACUACGUG
rnacentral:rRNA from 1 species